rnacentral:rRNA from 1 species
AGUGAACGCUGGCGGUAGGCCUAACACAUGCAAGUCGAACGGCAGCACAGUAAGAGCUUGCUCUUACGGGUGGCGAGUGGCGGACGGGUGAGGAAUACAUCGGAAUCUACUUUUUCGUGGGGGAUAACGUAGGGAAACUUACGCUAAUACCGCAUACGACCUACGGGUGAAAGCAGGGGAUCUUCGGACCUUGCGCGAUUGAAUGAGCCGAUGUCGGAUUAGCUAGUUGGCGGGGUAAAGGCCCACCAAGGCGACGAUCCGUAGCUGGUCUGCCAGGAUGAUCAGCCACACUGGAACUGAGACACGGUCCAGACUCCUACGGGAGGCACCAGUGGGGAAUAUUGGACAAUGGGCGCAAGCCUGAUCCAGCCAUACCGCGUGGGUGAAGAAGGCCUUCGGGUUGUAAAGCCCUUUUGUUGGGAAAGAAAAGCAGCAGGUUAAUACCCCGCUGUUCUGACGGUACCCAAAGAAUAAGCACCGGCUAACUUCGUG